UUUACCACGUAUCAAUUCAAAGGACGCAAUCAUUUGACGCUUAACUUUUGAGAACGUUAAGUGAUUUGAAAGAUCGAAUGUUCAAAGUUUUGAGCCAUCAACUAGUAAAAGAUAAAUCAAACGAAGUUACAAUUCCAAACAAGAACAAUAUGCUUAUCAUAAACAAAUCACUGCCAUCUUAAACAAGUAAGUCCACAUUUUUAUGGAGCUAAAGAAUUUUGCUUAUCUUCGUGACGUUGCAAUUGUCUUUCCUCGAUGCUAAGUUGUUGUAUGCAAAUUCAUCGCAUUAAAUAAUACAAGCUAGGCAAUCUGGAAAUUACGAAAAAGCUAUAGAGUUUCACGAAAAAAAUAUGGAAAUUCAAAAACAAUCGUCAGGUCCAAAUCAUGUUGAUGGUGCUCAGUCUUUGAACAAUUUUGGUAAUUUGUAUUAUGAAAGUGGAAAUUACGAAAAA